rnacentral:rRNA from 1 species
UGGGGAAUAUUGCACAAUGGGCGCAAGCCUGAUGCAGCCAUGCCGCGUGUAUGAAGAAGGCCUUCGGGUUGUAAAGUACUUUCAGUCGGGAGGAAGGUGGUAAGGUUAAUAACCUUGGCAAUUGACGUUACCGACAGAAGAAGCACCGGCUAACUCCGUGCCAGCAGCCGCGGUAAUACGGAGGGUGCAAGCGUUAAUCGGAAUUACUGGGCGUAAAGCGCACGCAGGCGGUUGAUUGAGUCAGAUGUGAAAUCCCCGGGCUUAACCCGGGAAUUGCAUCUGAUACUGGUCAGCUAGAGUCUUGUAGAGGGGGGUAGAAUUCCAUGUGUAGCGGUGAAAUGCGUAGAGAUGUGGAUGAAUACCGGUGGCGAAGGCGGCCCCCUGGACAAAGACUGACGCUCAGGUGCGAAAGCGUGAGGAGCAAACAGG